rnacentral:rRNA from 1 species
UACGUAGGGUGCGAGCGUUGUCCGGAAUUACUGGGCGUAAAGAGCUCGUAGGUGGUUUGUCGCGUUGUCCGUGAAAACUCACAACUCAAUUGUGGGCGUGCGGGCGAUACGGGCAGACUGGAGUACUGCAGGGGAGACUGGAACUCCUGGUGUAGCGGUGGAAUGCGCAGAUAUCAGGAAGAACACCGGUGGCGAAGGCGGCUCUCUGGGCCUUACCUGACGCUGAGGAGCGAAAGCGUGGGUAGCGAACAGG